UGAGCAAUCUGCCCUUCUCAUCGGAAUAAGCGUUGGAAACGACGUCUAAUGCCGAAUACGACCUCCUUUCGCAUGAUCUGAAGUGGAAAGCUCCGGCGGUGAAGGAUGAGCUCGCGGCCUAUCAGCUAGUUGGUGUGGGUAAUGGCCCACCAAGGCGACGACGGGUAGCCGGCCUGAGAGGGUGACCCGGCCACACUGGGACUGAGACACGGCCCAGACUCCCGUAGGGAGG
rnacentral:rRNA from 1 species